GUUCGGUGUCAAGAUUUAUAAUUUUUCAUCGCCUGUACAAGAGUUUCGUUAGGAAGCAAAGGGGAGGAGAGGUGCUCCGCGAUGAAUGGCGGGCCUAGUCCUUUGAAUUUGAAAGAGUGCCUAGGCGAUUUGCAAAGAUUUCUCUUUGAAGUUAGGAUGAAUUGACACUGUUGCUUUGCUCUCACGCACUCAAUGAAGCUCUUUCCCCCUGUUCUCCGACGAUUGAUGAAGGUCGGUUCCAGAAUCUGUCCUUGCACUUGCUGGUUGGGAAAUAAAAGGCAGCUUCGGAUUAUGAUCUCAACUAUUAUCACAGCCUUGCCUUGGGCCUUGGAGCUACUACUCUCUUGUAGCAUGGAACAAUACGAGGUUACAUAUUACACAGUUGGUUAGAGACAUUUCUGCCAAACUGAAGCUAGCGAGUGAAACAAAUCUGCACACUGACUGCCUAAGCCAUUACGGAUCCGAAGGAAGUAGUUCAAGCUCCUCAAUAUUCUCUCUGAUUCAUAUGGAGGACACAGAAGCAGCCUGGAAUAAAGCAGAGAACUAUGUGAAUAAAUUCUGAAUGUUUAUGUUAGUUUUUAAGUGUUUGUGUUUUGAAUAAAUAUGAUUUAUGUAGGUGGUCUGUUUUAAUACUUUGUCUGUGUGGAGACAAUCUUAAGUUUGAUGAGUUUCAGCUACAAUAGAGCAUAAAGCUAUCAAUAGUUUUGGAUCUUGAAGGAUAUUGCUAAGUUUGAAAAUUUGAUGGUUAAAAUUAUAAAAAUUCAUUUAUUGUAA